CCCUUAGACGUUCUGGGCCGCACGCGCGCUACACUGACCAGUGCAACAAGCAUCCGUCCUUGGCCGACAGGCUCGGGCAAUCUUUGAACGCUGGUCGUGAUGGGGAUAGACUUUUGCAAUUUUUGGUCUUCAACGAGGAAUUCCUAGUAAACGCAAGUCAUCAACUUGCAUUGAUUACGUCCCUGCCCUUUGUACACACCGCCCGUCGCACCUACCGAUUGAAUGGUCCGGUGAAGCCUCGGGAUUGUGGCUGGUUUCCUUUAUUGGAGGUCGGUCGCGAGAACUUGUCUAAACCUUAUCAUUUAGAGGAAGGUGAAGUCGUAACA
rnacentral:rRNA from 1 species